rnacentral:rRNA from 1 species
CUGGCGGCAUGCUUUACACAUGCAAGUCGAACGGCAGCACGGGAGCUUGCUCCUGGUGGCGAGUGGCGAACGGGUGAGUAAUGCAUCGGAACGUAUCCAAUAAUGGGGGAUAACGCAUCGAAAGGUGUGCUAAUACCGCAUACGCCCUGAGGGGGAAAGUGGGGGACCGUAAGGCCUCACGUUAAUGGAGCGGCCGAUGUCGGAUAAGCUAGUUGGUGAGGUAAAGGCUCACCAAGGCGACGAUCCGUAGCUGGUCUGAGAGGAUGAUCAGCCACACUGGAACUGAGACACGGUCCAGACUCCUACGGGAGGCAGCAGUGGGGAAUUUUGGACAAUGGGGGCAACCCUGAUCCAGCCAUGCCGCGUGAGUGAAGAAGGCCUUCGGGUUGUAAAGCUCUUUCGCGAGGGAAGAAAACUUAGUUCUUAAUACGAGCUGAGGAUGACGGUACCUUGAUAAGAAGCACCGGCUAACUACGUGCCAGCAGCCGCGGUAAUACGUAGGGUGCGAGCGUUAAUCGGAAUUACUGGGCGUAAAGCGUGCGCAGGCGGUUUGACAAGUCAGAUGUGAAAGCCCCGGGCUCAACCUGGGAACUGCGUUUGAAACUGUCAGGCUAGAGUGUGUCAGAGGGAGGUAGAAUUCCACGUGUAGCAGUGAAAUGCGUAGAGAUGUGGAGGAACACCGAUGGCGAAGGCAGCCUCCUGGGAUAACACUGACGCUCAUGCACGAAAGCGUGGGGAGCAGACAGGAUUAGAUACCCUGGUAG